rnacentral:rRNA from 1 species
UGGCCUACGGGAGGCAGCAGUGGGGAAUAUUGCACAAUGGGGGAAACCCUGAUGCAGCGACGCCGCGUGAGUGAAGAAGUAUCUCGGUACGUAAAGCUCUAUCAGCAGGGAAGAAAAAAAGUCUUUGGCUUUGGACGGUACCUGACUAAGAAGCCCCGGCUAACUACGUGCCAGCAGCCGCGGUAAUACGUAGGGGGCGAGCGUUAUCCGGAUUUACUGGGUGUAAAGGGAGCGUAGACGGCUGGGCAAGCCUGAUGUGAAAGGCGGGGGCGCAACCCUCGGACUGCAUUGGGAACUGUCCGGCG